UGAAUACGAGAUGCUACGGCGUCGAAGCAGUGUAUGUCAGACUUCCAAGAAAAGCUCGCAAUGUCAUAAAUAAAGAAUGCCUGUACCAUAACCGACACAGGUGGGUAGGUAGAGUAUACUAAGGGGCGCGAGAUAACUCUCUCUAAGGAACUCGGCAAAAUAACUCCGUAACUUCGGGAGAAGGAGUGCCUUCUAUUAGAAGGUUGUAAUAACAAGAUCCAAGCAACUGUUUAUCAAAAACACAGGUCUCCGCUAAGUCGUAAGACGAUGUAUGGGGGCUGACGCCUGCCCAGUGCCAGAAGGUUAAAGAAGUUGGUUAGCUUUGGCGAAGCUGAUGACUGAAGCCCUGGUGAACGGCGGCCGUAACAAUAACGGUCCUAAGGUAGCGAAAUUCCUUGUCGGGUAAGUUCCGACCCGCACGAAAGGCGUAAUGAUUUGGAUACUGUCUCGGAGAGGGACUCGGUGAAAUAGACUUGUCUGUGAAGAUGCGGACUACCUGCACCAGGACAGAAAGACCCUAUGAAGCUUUACUGUAACUUGAAAUUGAAAUUGGACUUUAUUUGCGCAGCAUAGGUGGAAGGCGUUGAGAUUACUCUUGCGGGAGUACUGGAGCCAUCAGUGAGAUACCACUCCUAUAAUGUUAGAUUUCUAACUUUGGAUCAUGAUCUGGUCAAAGAACAGUUUCAGGCGGGCAGUUUGACUGGGGCGGUCGCCUCCCAAAUGGUAACGGAGGCGUACAAAGGUUUCCUCUGAACGGGUAGAAAUCGUAUCUAGAGUGUAAAGGCUUAAGGAAGCUUGACUGUGAGACCUACAAGUCGAGCAGGGACGAAAGUCGGUCUUAGUGAUCUGACGGUGCUGAGUGGAAAGGCCGUCACUCAACGGAUAAAAGUUACUCUAGGAUAACAGGCUGAUCUCCCCCAAGAGUUCACAUCGACGGGGAGGUUUGGCACCUCGAUGUCGGCUCAUCGCAUCCUGGGGCGGUAGUACGUCCCAAGGGUUGGGCUGUUCGCCCAUGAAAGCGGUACGCGAGCUGGGUUCAGAACGUCGUGAGACAGUUCGGUCCAUAUCCGGUGUAGGCGUUAGAAUAUUAAGAGGAGCCUUCUUUAGUACGAGAGGACCGAGAAGGACAUACCUCUGGUGUACCAGUUAUCGUGCCAACGGUAAACGCUGGGUAGCUAUGUAUGGAGAGGAUAACCGCUGAAAGCAUCUAAGUGGGAAGCCCACCUCAAGAUGAGUAUUCUCA
rnacentral:rRNA from 1 species